rnacentral:rRNA from 1 species
GUAAUGUCUGGGAAACUGCCUGAUGGAGGGGGAUAACUACUGGAAACGGUGGCUAAUACCGCAUAACGUCGCAAGACCAAAGAGGGGGACCUUCGGGCCUCUUGCCAUCAGAUGUGCCCAGAUGGGAUUAGCUAGUUGGUGAGGUAACGGCUCACCAAGGCGACGAUCCCUAGCUGGUCUGAGAGGAUGACCAGCCACACUGGAACUGAGACACGGUCCAGACUCCUACGGGAGGCAGCAGUGGGGAAUAUUGCACAAUGGGCGCAAGCCUGAUGCAGCCAUGCCGCGUGUAUGAAGAAGGCCUUCGGGUUGUAAAGUACUUUCAGCGGGGAGGAAGGUGUUGUGGUUAAUAACCGCAGCAAUUGACGUUACCCGCAGAAGAAGCACCGGCUAACUCCGUGCCAGCAGCCGCGGUAAUACGGAGGGUGCAAGCGUUAAUCGGAAUUACUGGGCGUAAAGCGCACGCAGGCGGUCUGUCAAGUCGGAUGUGAAAUCCCCGGGCUCAACCUGGGAACUGCAUUCGAAACUGGCAGGCUUGAGUCUUGUAGAGGGGGGUAGAAUUCCAGGUGUAGCGGUGAAAUGCGUAGAGAUCUGGAGGAAUACCGGUGGC